rnacentral:rRNA from 1 species
GACGGAGGGUGCAAGCGUUGUUCGGAUUGACUGGGCGUAAAGGGCGUGUAGGCGGUUGCCCAAGUCCGAUGUGAAAGCCCGAGGCUUAGCCUCGGAAGUGCAUCGGAAACUAGGCAGCUGGAGCGCGAUAGAGGAGGGUAGAAUUCCUGGUGUAGCGGUGAAAUGCGUAGAUAUCAGGAGGAAUACCGGCGGCGAAGGCGGCCCUCUGGAUCGUUGCUGACGCUGAGACGCGAAAGCGUGGGAGCAAACAGG